rnacentral:rRNA from 1 species
GACGAACGCUGGCGGCGUGCCUAAUACAUGCAAGUUGAGCGCUGAAGGUUGGUACUUGUACCGACUGGCUGAGCAGCGAACGGGUGAGUAACGCGUGGGGAAUCUGCCUUUGAGCGGGGGACAACAUUUGGAAACGAAUGCUAAUACCGCAUAAAAACUUUAAACACAAGUUUUAAGUUUGAAAGAUGCAAUUGCAUCACUCAAAGAUGAUCCCGCGUUGUAUUAGCUAGUUGGUGAGGUAAAGGCUCACCAAGGCGAUGAUACAUAGCCGACCUGAGAGGGUGAUCGGCCACAUUGGGACUGAGACACGGCCCAAACCCCUACGAGAGGCAGCAGUAGGGAAUCUUCGGCAAUGGACGAAAGUCUGACCGAGCAACGCCGCGUGAGUGAAGAAGGUUUUCGGAUCGUAAAACUCUGUUGGUAGAGAAGAACGUUGGUGAGAGUGGAAAGCUCAUCAAGUGACGGUAACUACCCAGAAAGGGACGGCUAACUACGUG